UCCUAAUUUGGUUGGGUUAAGAAUCUAAUUGGAUGAAAAAAUAAUUUGAAUUCAAAUCCCUUGCGCCUCCUUUCUCUGCGCCCUCUUAUUCUUCAUACAAGAAAUUUUUUUUACAUAAAUUUUUCUCAUGUUCAAAAUCUUUUCUAUGUCUAUAUCUAAUUUUUUGAAUUAAAAAUUAGUUAAUUUAAAUUUGAGUUCAAAUAUAUUUGAAUUUGAAUUAAAAUCUAGAAUCCAANNNNNNNNNNNNNNNNNNNNAAGGAUCAACCAACAUUUGAAAUUGAAUCGAAACUACCUUUUCCUCAUUCUUAUCUUCCAUGGGAUGGCACCCUUAAGAAGGGAUAAGUUUUGUGUGAGAUUAAAAGUAAUUUUUAGCAUGAGAAAUCUGAGAGUUGGGGUGUAAAAAGUUGAGAGUGGGUUGGACUUCCGUGCAUGAGAAAUGGAGGAAGUGUUCUUCCUCUCGGGCGUGAGGUAUACGGUCUAGGGUUUCAACUCUAGAUUUUAUGAGAAAAAAAAUAUAAGAAUGAGUCUUGUUCAAUCUCUCACACCACCACCUUCUUGUAAAGCUUCAUCUUUUGAUUCGGAGAAGUCGAGAGAACUGAAGAAAGGAGCUUGGAUCAGCCAUCUAGAGCCUUCGAUGC
rnacentral:lncRNA from 1 species